AUGGAGGGCAGCACGUCGUUGCGGCACCUCGUCGAGUACGAGUGCUUCUUCUUCGGGUGGCUCGACGACAGCGCACGGCACUCGCCGCCGUCCUUGGACCGCCUCGUCCACAGCGUCGGUCAUUCCUUCCGAAUCUCAACGUCGUCCUCCUUCAUCGACUUGUACCCCCACGACGAUCUCUUCUCCAUCGACUUAGACUUAGCCACGGCGGCGAGCGACUUCGACUUCGACUUGCCGGUAGUAGACGAUGCCGCACCGUCCCCGAUGCUGCAGAUCAGCGCGAGCCGCCUCCUCCCCUGCGACUGCGAGCCCGGAGGCGGCGGCGGCUCCGGCGCGGAAGAAGCCGGCGACGAGUCGGUGAUCACCAGUCGGCAUCACAGUGCGGACGCCCCGAGCGCGCUGUGGUUGUCAGCCUUGUCGUUGCCGGUCUCCCACUCGGCGCGGAGCACGCUAGUCUCGCUGAGUGCGUGCACCAGCGCGACGAGCAAGCACUCCAGGUCGCGGUCGACGUUGUGUGCCGGGAGGCGCCGCGCGGGGUCGUCGGCGCCCUGGAAGGUGCUGCGGUUCGUGAUGCCACUGUACCGGAAGGUCAGGGCGAUCGCGCGGAGGCACAGCAGCAGGUUCACGUUGGCGGCGAGCCCGGCGCGCGGGGCCACGUCGAGCGUCGCGUACCACGGCAGGGCCGCCGACACGGACGUCCAUGACGCCAUCCACUAUAGCAAGAAGUCCAGCGGAUCAGGUGUGCAGGAGACUAAUCACAUGUCAGCCAAAUGA
rnacentral:rRNA from 1 species